CAGUGGACAGGUAGCUGGUAAGCCUGGGGCGGUAGCGUA
rfam:Shimwellia blattae DSM 4481 = NBRC 105725, complete genome.